GACGAACGCUGGCGGCGUGCUUAACACAUGCAAGUCGAGCGGAAAGGCCCUUUCGGGAGUACUCGAGCGGCGAACGGGUGAGUAACACGUGAGUAAUCUGCCCCUGGCUUCGGGAUAGCCACCGGAAACGGUGAUUAAUACCGGAUACGACACACCACUGCAUGGUGCGUGUGUGGAAAGUUGUUUCGGCCAGGGAUGUGAUCGCGGCCUAUCAGCUUGUUGGUGGGGUAAUGGCGUACCAAGGCUUCGACGGGUCGCCGGCCUGAGAGGGUGACCGGCCACACUGGGCCUGAGACACGGCCCAGACUCGUACGGGAGGCAGCAGUGGGGAAUAUUGGACAAUGGGCGGAAGCCUGAUCCAGCAACGCCGCGUGAGGGAUGACGGCCUUCGGGUUGUAAACCUCUUUCAGCACAGACGAAGCGCAAGUGACGGUAUGUGCAGAAGAAGGACCGGCCAACUACGUGCCAGCAGCCGCGGUAAUAC
rnacentral:rRNA from 1 species